ACCCGGUUAGCUUAAUUGGAAGAGCGUGAGACUGUAGGUUCAACCUGACCCACUUGCCCUUAAUUCAUCCACUAACAACUCAAUAGUUUAAUCUCAAGGUCGCGAGUUCGAGCCUCGCAUCGGGUG